rnacentral:lncRNA from 1 species
AGAAGAUGAGCCGAGCGGAGAAGAAGAUGAGCCGGAGAAGAAGAUGAACAGUAAUUUUUGCAUUUCUGGAAUGCCGAAUGCCCAAUGCCGCCCCUCCCCAGCUUUCAGCAUUCAGCCUUCGGAAUGUCCAUAUUUGGGCAAAGGGGCUUUCAAAUAUUUUGCCAAACACCACAAUUUUUCCCCAAGGGGCUUUGGGGGCCCAAAGCCCCUUGGGAAUGCCCAACCAAACACCCC